rnacentral:rRNA from 1 species
UACGAAGGGGCUAGCGUUACUCGGAAUUACUGGGGCGUAAAGGGCGCGUAGGCGGCGCUCCAAGUUAGGCGUGAAAGUCCUGGGCUCAACCUGGGAACUGCGCUUAAGACUGGAGUGCUUGAGGAUGGAAGAGGGUCGUGGAAGUUCCCAGUGGUAGAGGUGAAAUUCGUAGAUAUUGGGAAGAACACCGGUGGCGAAGGCGGCGAAGCUGGUCCAUUACUGGACGCUGAGGCGCGACGCG